rnacentral:rRNA from 1 species
GCGGAGGGAUCAUUACCGAGUUUACAACUCCCAAACCCCUGUGAACAUACCUAUUUGUUGCCUCGGCGGUGCCUGUUCCGACAGCCCGCCAGAGGACCCCAAACCCUGAUUACAUUUAAGAAGUCUUCUGAGUAAACCGAUUAAAUAAAUCAAAACUUUCAACAACGGAUCUCUUGGUUCUGGCAUCGAUGAAGAACGCAGCGAAAUGCGAUAAGUAAUGUGAAUUGCAGAAUUCAGUGAAUCAUCGAAUCUUUGAACGCACAUUGCGCCCGCUAGUAUUCUGGCGGGCAUGCCUGUCCGAGCGUCAUUUCAACCCUCAAGCCCCCGGGCUUGGUGUUGGGGAUCGGCUAGCCUCCGCGCCCGCCGUCCCCUAAAUCUAGUGGCGGUCUCGCUGUAACUUCCUCUGCGUAGUAGCACACCUCGCACUGGGAAACAGCGCGGCCACGCCGUUAAACCCCCAGCUUCUGAACGUUUGACCUCGGAUCAGGUAGGAAUACCCGCUGAACUUAAGCAUAUCAAUA